ensembl:lncRNA
GUUACCGGCCGCGUGGGCACCAAUAUGGCGCCGGUUCCCAAUACCCAACCCUACAUGAGAGUGGUUAAAUCGACAGUUCCUAAUUAAAGAUUGCUAUGGCUGGUUCGACACCUGCAAGACUCAAGGUGAUUUUGGGAGAGAGCAACAUAGAGAAACUGACGCUUCCAAAUGGCCUACCAGAAUCCCUAGAUGAUCUUCAAAGCAAGAUCAAGACUACCUUUGGGUUAAAGGGCAACCUACGACUCCAAUAGAUGGACCAAGACUUUGGCAAUGACUUCUUCAAAUCUCAAUUCUACAACUGACUUUCAGGAUUUGGGAACAAUUAAUGUGAUCCAGGAUACAAAUCCACCUUUGAUCAGUGCCACUGAGACCACAUCCUGUAGUUCUCCUUCAAUUGAGUCUGACGGUGUUUCCCAUUCAUCAAAUGACACAAUAAUGCUCUCAUCCCCGAGUCUGUGUCAUCUCAAACAAGUGGCCACAGGAGUUUCCAAUUCCAAAAUUUUCAUAUACCAAUACAAGGCCUACCCAGAAGAUGCACAUUUCUGCACCCUUGUUUAAAAGAACCUGGCUCAUUCAAUGGCUACUAUGGUUCGAAACAGCGACUGAAGUAUAAGAUGGGAAACUACAGGACUCAGCUCAAAUUGCAGGGAUGUCCGGAGCUGUCGGUUAACUCCCUGAAAUCAAAGGCUCCUACAGAUGGUUUCCCUGCUAAAAAAGUAAAGAAGCCAAAAAGUGCUGAAGCCAACUUCUUCCCAUCAUUGCCUACUGGUGAGAUUCUGGAAAGCCAGGAAAAAGAGAGACUCGAACUUCUCACAGAGAUCGUGAUAAGAAGAAAUGAAAGUGUCGUCGCAGAGAAAAUGGCUUACACGUUUGCCUACAGAAUACACUAUUUUACGUUUGGGUUAAGAAAAUAUUUGAGUUGGAAAAACUGUAAACUUUAGGCUGACUUGUUUUAAUUUUGAGUUAAAGUGAUGCAAAAUAUUGAUUUGAAACACAUCAAAUUAUUACAUACAUCUGACUAAAAUCAAUUGUGUUAUUAAAACUUGUUAACUUCAUUUGGAAAAACUUAUGAAGAGAGAGAUGCAGACACACAGGCAGAGAAUUUAAUGACAGUUUUACAAAUUAGACAUGGUCACUAGUUUACUAGUUUUGUUUAAUAUUGAGUUUUAAGUUGAGUUACAUGACAGUCUGAUGAGGGAUGUUGUGGUACACUAUUAGUGUAAUGCUGCUUAUGCUAAAACAGUACAAAAAUGUGUGUGUGUGUUGUCAGCUUUUGAUUAUUAUGCACAACAUCGUUUAUCUCAUUUACAAAAUUUGCAGCACCAUCCGCAGGCUUCUGUGUAAUUCCACAGGCUUCUUGUAAUUUGACUUUGGGCUAUACAAAAUAAAAUGAAUUGGAUUGAAUUGAAUGCUAAGAAAAGAGAGACCCCAAAAGCAGAAGGACAAACUAAAUAUCCUGUGUUUUUUUAUUUGUUUAUUUUAUUAUUAAUAUUUUUACGUAAUUUUGGCGAUGGGUGCCCUUUUGUUUUUGUUUGAGCAGCUGCCUCCCAAAAUGUCUGUGCACGUGCCCGGUGUCCUCUAGAGGGCAACCAAGUAUCACACAAGUCCAACAAGUCGAGGGAAACACGGUCCGAAGUGUGGUGCUGUCGAUCAGGAGUUUCAUGUUUGGUGUUCAGGGAGUCGGAGAUUUCUGGUGUUUGGCUGGUCGGUGCCAUUUUGCCUGCAUCUUCUGUUUCCAUGGUGAGAGUCUGGAAGACAUGAAGCAACAGCUCCGUUACUUUCCCUUAAUACCCUCGUAUUUCAACAAAUACAUCAGAUUCGUCCUCUUGAUAAAAUGUCUGCAGAUGGAAUAUUAUAUUAUUGAGCCCUUUUGCUAAUGUUCCAGUUUAACAAACAUCCGUAUUCAUUGAUUUCAACACUGAUCAUCAUCUGGUUUUUAGGGGCUGCAGAUCUUCCAAAGCAGCAUGUACGUGAUUGGAUAUUUAUUCAUAUUAAGUGUUAACAUCAUAGAGACUUCUUGAUCACUGACCCCUGAUGCAGUAGUAGUUUAAAAAAAUCCAGGGCAUUGCUUCAUGGUCUUCAGGGUAUAAGGUGGCUAAGAUUGAGGCAAUGGCUAAGAUGCAUUUCCUUAUUUCAGAGGCUAUUGUGUUAUAUCUUUUUUUGUGUUUUUCUUUUAUUAAGUAAAAAAAUGAAGUAUUACUGUGGACGGGUGUUGUAAAUUGCGUUUUCUUGUGCAUAAUUGUAUGUUAUAAUUAUAAUGCUGCU